UACGUAGGGACCAAGCGUUGUUCGGAUUUACUGGGCGUAAAGGGCGCGUAGGCGGCUUAACAAGUCACUUGUGAAAUCUCCGGGCUUAACUCGGAACGGCCAAGUGAAACUGAUCGAAGCUAGAGUGCAGAGGGGCAAUCGGAAGUUCUUGGUGUAGCGGUGAAAUGCGUAGAUAUCGAAGAGGAACACCUGAGGUGAAGACGGGUUGCUGGGCUGACACUGACGCUGGAGGCGCGAAAGCCAGGGGAGCAAACGGG
rnacentral:rRNA from 1 species